rnacentral:antisense_RNA from 1 species
GUGUACGACCAGGUGGCGUCUCCGUCCACCAGCGCCUGGUCCCCGAAAUACGCCCCGUCGGCGAGGACUUCGAGCACCGUCUCCGCCCCGUAGGGCCCCUCACCCACCUUCUCCACCUUGCCGUGGGCCAGCAGGUACACCCGGUCCGCCGCGGCGCCGGACGCGGCCACGGUCUGGCCCGCGGCGAACUCCUGCUGCUCACAGCGGCCCGCCAGCUCGGUCAGGACCUGCUCGUCGUCGAAGCCCCGGAGCGCCGGCAGUUCGCCCAGCUCCGCCGGGAUGACCGCCACCCGGUCGCCGGUCUGCACGAACGUCACACGCCCGUCGCCGACGGCAUAGCUGAGCCGACGGUUCACCCGGUACGUACCGCCCUGCACCUGGACCCAGGGCAGCAUCCUCAGCAGCCAGCGGGAGGUGAUCUCCUGCAUCUGCGGCGGCGUCUUCGUGGUGGUCGCCAGGUUCCGCGCGGCGGCCGUUCCCAGGCUCUGCUGAGCAGGCGGUUCCA